UACAGGGGGAGCAAGCGUUGUUCGGAUUUACUGGGCGUAAAGGGCGCGUAGGCGGCCACCGCAAGUCGACUGUGAAAUCUCCGGGCUUAACCCGGAAAGGUCAGCCGAUACUGCGGGGCUAGAGUGCAGAAGGGGCAACUGGAAUUCUCGGUGUAGCGGUGAAAUGCGUAGAUAUCGAGAGGAACACCUGCGGCGAAGGCGGCUCACUGGACUGGUAUUGACGCUGAGGUGCGAAAGCGUGGGGAGCAAACAGG
rnacentral:rRNA from 1 species